UGUCUCAGGUGGUAAAGAAUCUGCCUGAAAUGCAGGAGACCCAGGUUUGAUCCCUGG
rnacentral:tRNA from 1 species